AGACACAGAUGAAGGCCAUCGUGAACAUGGCACUUUAUUUGCACUGGAAGUUGGAUAAAGUGUAUUUUUUUCUAGUGGCUGAAGAACCUGUCCAGUGGUGAGAAAGACUCUGCUGGGUCCUUCCCUAAGUCUGAUCUAGAUGUCCAUUCCACCAUGGCAUGAGAGUCUCUUUCUUGUAGACGUAGCAUUUUCUGCAUGUUUACGUCUCUGAGGCUGAAUCUCCUGUCUGGAUUUGUCGUUAACUUCCAGGUUCACAUAGCCCUGUGCAUGGAGGAACCUACAUUUUCCUGAUGAUGAAUCAAAUAGGGUCUGAAAUUUUAGUGGCACAGGUCUUAAAAAUGUCACCUCAAACUUCUAUGAAGCCAGAAGAAAUGAAAUAGAAAAAGCCACCUAAAAAGCAGAAAUCUGGAUUGUGAGUGCUGAGACAAAUUUCACAGCAUUGACAUAAAUUUCACAGGAUAUGCUUGGAUACAUCUUCUUCUCCAUCCUGCACAUAGUCUCUUUGUGAAGAGGAGUUGGAUCUUGUCGGUGUGUGCUAAGAUCUUCAUGAGAAACUAUUGCUAACUUACUUUUUUUGGUUAAAAAAAUACAAAAUAAUUACACAACUUCUCUAUACUCUUUCAAUGAUAACAAAUUCCUCAUAUUAAAAGACUGACUCUAUA
rnacentral:lncRNA from 1 species